AACGAACGCUGGCGGCAGGCUUAACACAUGCAAGUCGAACGCCCCGCAAGGGGAGUGGCAGACGGGUGAGUAACGCGUGGGAAUCUACCCAGCUCUGCGGAACAACAGUUGGAAACGACUGCUAAUACCGCAUACGCCCUACGGGGGAAAGAUUUAUCGGAAUUGGAUGAGCCCGCGUUGGAUUAGCUAGUUGGUGAGGUAAUGGCGCACCAAGGCGACGAUCCAUAGCUGGUCUGAGAGGAUGAUCAGCCACACUGGGACUGAGACACGGCCCAGACUCCUACGGGAGGCAGCAGUGGGGAAUAUUGGACAAUGGGCGCAAGCCUGAUCCAGCCAUGCCGCGUGAGUGAUGAAGGCCUUAGGGUUGUAAAGCUCUUUCAGUGGGGAAGAUAAUGACGGUACCCACAGAAGAAGCCCCGGCUAACUUCGUGCCAGCCGCCGCCGUAACAC
rnacentral:rRNA from 1 species